CCUACAUGAAGCUGGAGUUACUAGUAAUCGCAGAUCAGAAUGCUGCGGUGAAUGCGUUCCCGGGUCUUGUACACACCGCCCGUCACACCACGGGAGUUGGAGACGCCCGAAGCCGAUUAUCUAACCUGUUGGAAGAAGUCGUCGAAGGUGGAAUCAAUAACUGGGGUGAAGUCGUAACAAGGUAGCCGUAUCGGAAGGUGAGGCUGGAUCACCUCCUUUCUAAGGAGA
rnacentral:rRNA from 1 species